GCCGGAGUGGUGGAACUGGUAGACACGCUGUCUUGAGGGGGCAGUGGCCCACGGCCGUGUCGGUUCGAGUCCGACCUUCGGCA
rnacentral:tRNA from 1 species